AAAUCAGAUGAUGAGAUUGGAUAAAUUUUCUCACGACGGUCGUCUGAGAUACCUCUAAGUGCGGUGUCUGUCUGAUGCAUUCAUCCAAUGUUCUCUGAUGAUU